UACGUAGGGGGCUAGCGUUGUCCGGAUUUAUUGGGCGUAAAGAGCGUGUAGGCGGCCAGGUAGGUCUGGCGUGAAAACUCGAGGCUUAACCUCGAGAUGUCAUCGGAAACCAUCUGGCUAGAGUCCGGAAGAGGAGAGUGGAAUUCCUGGUGUAGCGGUGAAAUGCGCAGAUAUCAGGAAGAACACCAAUGGCGAAAGCAGCUCUCUGGGACGGUACUGACGCUGAGAAGCGAAAGCAUGGGGAGCGAACAGG
rnacentral:rRNA from 1 species